rnacentral:lncRNA from 1 species
UCUGAAAUCUUGUGUUUUGAACUCUAAAUUAUUCUAAAAUGCCAAGAAUUUAUACAAAUACUUGUAAUAUGUGGCAAAAAUUACAUUGUCGCUUCUCUUUUGGAGUGAAGUGUGAAAAGGCACAUACUCUUCUCAUUUUGGACGAGCUGCUGAUGCACCUAUACACCGAAGGACCUGAGCAUAAGGAAAGAAGAAUGAAAGGGCUGAAGUGAAAAAAAAAGACCAACUUGCGAAAGAAGAAGAAAGGAGAAGGGCCUGGAUGUAAAAAUGUCAAAGGGAUUAAAUCCCUAAUUCCUGCUCUCGAUCCCCUUGAGCCUGGCACUUCCCCUUUCCCCUAUCUCCUGCGGCACCACCGGCCGCCGCCGCAGCCAGGCCAGCGUGGCGGCACGCCACCGAGCUAGCUGCAGCCCCUUCCCGAGAUCCACUACUACUCCUCCUCCAUACCGCCUCUGCCGGCAGCGGGCUGCACGAAUCAUCUCCAUCAACACCUGCUGCUCCCCCACGCACCGAAGAAAUCAAGAACCAAGGAACGCGAGCACGACGACCACCUGCAACAUCCUCCCCUUCUCCAAGUGCUGCUGCCCUCUCCUUUGGUUAAAUCCCCACCGAACUCUCUCUCUCUCUCUCCUACUUGUUGCUUGCUGUUUGUGUGUACAAGAACUGAGAAAGAACAUGCUGUUGAUCUUUGGAAAGUUAGCUGAGCCUUGCACUGUGUUAAACUCUCUCUUUAGCUUCUGGCCGAUGUGUGCACUUAAUUAUUGUUCUAUGUUAUAAUCUACUCUGAUAUUUGUGAAUGUGGCUGUGUGUAUACUUGUUGAUGUGUUUCGUGCAAUUUUCUAUCCCUAUCUAAAAACUUGCUUCUUCCCAGUCUUAUAUGUUUGCUGGUGAAAUUACUUUCUGUCAAUAUUGUUCUUUGUCUUUGCUUCUGCCCCUGUCUUUGAUGUAUGCUUGUCUUAGUGUUUUAGAUUCUAAAGUAAAUUGAAAAUACCAAAAAAAUAUUGCAGUCAUUCUGUACCUUGAAUCUCAUAAUUGUUUCUAUCCUUAUCUUGGAUAAUUGCUUGUGAUGUUUCGUGGUAGAUGAUCUUGUCUUGCUUUAUAGUGGGAAAUCUUCUCUUUGUUUGUUUUAAAUGCCAAAAUCCUUUCUUGUGAUCUAGCUUUAACCGAACAUUGUUGUCGCUGCCUAGUGCCUGUGGAGAAUCUCAACAAAAACUACUAUAUUUGCAUUGAUCAAAUUGGCGCCGUUGCCGGGGACUAGCAGCGAGCGAUUGUGUUAGGUUAUAGACUAGGUGUUUUUCCCCUUGUUUAGUAACCCCUAUUCUAGGUGUUUCUCUGUUUUCUAUUUGUUUCUUGUCAUAUUUAACAGGUUAUAUUAUCAUCUUGGUCAUGUCAUACUAUUCAGAUUAUUAUGGAUAUGCGAGCAGUAGCGGCAACAACAUAACAAGUCUUCAAGAUAAGAUAAAUGAGUUGUCUGGUCAGAAGCAAAUGUUAUCAAGUAAAAUAGAACAACACAAUUUGCAGCAAGGAAAUGGUCUUCAGGGAGGCCCUGCUAUUUUGAUCCUUAUUCUGUAGGCCAUCCCCAUACUUAUGUUGCUCCUGAAUGUCAUAUUUGUGGAUAUCAAGGUCAUAUUCCCGUCGAGUGUCAGCUGGGUAAAUCUUUCACCCCAAAUUGUUAUGAUAUGGGUUUUACUCCACAGCAUGAUCUGUACCACAACAAUUACCCCCUAGUGGGCUUGAUAACCCAAAUAUUACAUUUAGGAACAGCAGCCCUGAGGACUCAUCUUUUUCUUCUAGCUAUCCUAUGCAGGGAUUUAGGAAUGAAGAGGCGAAGUCACAAGCUCAGUUAAAUUUUGAAGCAGAACAACAAGCUUGGUUUGAAGAUUUUAUGAAGACGCAGCAAGAGAAGAUGGUUCAUCCACAAUCAGCUAUACUUUCAGAUGUAGAUCAAGAACAUGUGAUUUCAGAAAAUGAAGAAAAAGUUGCUCAGAUUUGGGAAGAAGAGAGAUCCGAGAUUAAAGAAGAUGAUGCACUAGAAGACAAGACACACAAUGAGCAAGAGCUGGACUAUGGAAGUAGCAAAGAUAUAGUGGCUGCCAAUCUUGAAGAUAUUGAAGAUAAAGAGGCUAAUGGAGUGGAAAAUGAAGAUAAUGAGGAGAUUCAAGUCGACAUGUCAAUUAUCAUUCAGGAGUGUGAUGAAACAGGUUUAUCAAACCCAAUUAAUGACAUUCUUCCUUAUGAAUUCCCUGCUACUACCUUGCAUUGCUUGAUACCAUCACUUAAGGUAGAACUGAAUUGUGACUUUCUUAAAUUUGAUGAUGCAUACUUUGUUAGUGACAAUACUGAAAUUCAUGAUGAUGACUCAUGUUAAUCACAUGCUAAAAUUCUGCUUAUGGAUGCAUGCUCUAAGAUUACUCGCGUCUCACAUGUGAAUAUUUAUCAUUCUCACCUUGUGCUUUAUUGCUACGCUUACAUCAUUGGUUUUUCAAUUGAUGACUUAGAGGGUGUUGGUCCUUUGACCUCUCCUAGGUGCUAUUCAUAUGAUAUAACUGAGUUUAAUGUGAUAUAUCAUCAUCGCCAUGUUUUUUAUCGAUAUGUGUAUACCAUUGGAUACUCCAUUGAUAAUUUGGAGGGGGUUGACCCUGUCUCUUUUAGUUCUUGUUGUGAGUGUAUUUCAGGCAUAUCAUAGGUGCUUUGUCAGCUUGGAAAAGUCCAGAUUCGAGUUGACAUUCCUUGGGACCCUGGUGGAUAUGAGGUUUUGAGAUGGUGUAGCAAAGAGAGUUGUAUCACACUUGAAAUAAAAUGCUGAAGCAGAUGGGAUCGAGGGAAUCAAGAAGAGUUGUCGAAUUCAGAAGAUGAGUGGCUUGGUCUGAAGGGAAGGUGUAGUCUGAUAAAAAUAUAGUUCAAAUCAUCUAAAACACCAGGUGACUUGUUUCCAGUAUAUGAGAUCAUGUUUCUUCCAUUGCCUGCAACUUUUCUCAAACUGAUCACUGCUAUUCGUUAUUGGUCACAUCAUUGCUUUCUUGUUGAAGCUGUUCUUCUUUGAGAAUCACAUAACAUUGCUUUAACUUGUUGUUUUCUUACCGAAAAAAAAAGCUGCAUUAAUUUUUUUUGUGAUUGCUAUACUCCAGGAUCUUCAUAAUGAAAAGAUACAUCAACUUUCAGUUUAAACACAACAGCUAUUGGUGCAUGUUCUUAUUGCAGUAAUCUAAAGUAUACUUCAGAUUUGUUUUAUUUUCUGCUCUCAUUCCUAAUAAAUUAAGAUUCUGACAAAUCUGAAUGUCUCCUUAUGCUAGUUAGUCCUGUAUCGACUCAAUUGAUUAGUUGCUAAGUAGUAGCUAUGAUCCCGGGAUCUGUAGCUUGUGAAAACAGUGCUAUUGAUCAUAGGUUUCUUUACAAAAUCUUUUAUCCUGUUGCAAUUUGAGCUUUCAAUAAGUGGCUUGUCCACAAGUCUUUAAAUCUCUGAAUAAGUGGCUCAGCCACAGUGUUAUCCUUGCAAAUAAGUGACUAUGUCACAAUUUGUUUCAAUAAGUGGCAGUCCACAUUGCCUUGCUCUGUUUGAAUAAGUGACUCUGUCACAUCUUUAGUUUGGAAUAAGUGGUGCAAGCACCACAAUUUAUUGCAUUUCUUGUUUCGUUUUUAUUUUUGAAAAACCAUGAACCGUGACUCGUUACUGGACUGCUGUCAUAGUUUGAAUUCAGUUUGCAAAAUCUUCUUUAUUAGUUAGGGGAGCCUAAAAUAGUUUAAAUCUUCAGUAUACUUUGAGUACAAUAAUCAGAACAUACAGCUUUACCUGUUAAGUUUAAACUGAAGUUUCUUGGGUCCUUUUUAUUGUGACGGAAAUCCUAGUUGGAGUGAUUACAUACCUCGUUUCAUGCUGUUGUCUCAUUUGCGAUCUGUUUCCUCAUUUGCAUAUCUCUUUGCUUGAGGACAAGCAAAAGUUUAAGUGUGGGGGUGUGAUAAGCAUCAUAUUUGCACUAUUUUCUGGCCAUAAUUAUAUCUGAAAUCUUGUGUUUUGAACUCUGAAUUAUUCUAAAAUGCCAAGAAUUUAUACAAAUACUUGUAAUAUGUGGCAAAAAUUACAUUGUAGCUUUUCUUUUGCAGUUAAGUGCGAAAAGGCACAUACUCUUCUCAUUUUGGACGAGCUGCUGAUGCACCUAUACACCGAAGGACUUGAGCAUAAGGAAAGAGGAAAGAAAGGGCUGAAGUGAAGAAAAAAAAGACCAACUUGCAAAAGAAGAAGAAAGGAGAAGGGCCUGGAUGUAAAAAUGUCAAAGGGAUUAAACCCUAACUCCUGCUCUCGAUCCCCUUGAGCCUGGCACUUCCCCUUUCCCCUAUCUCCUGCUGCACCACCGGCCGCCGCCGCAGCCAGGCUAGCGUGGCGGUGCACCACCGAGCUAGCUGCAGCCCCUUCCCGAUAUCCAC